UACGUAGGGGGCUAGCGUUGUCCGGAAUCAUUGGGCGUAAAGCGCGCGUAGGCGGCCCGGCAAGUCCGCUGUGAAAGUCGGGGGCUCAACCCUCGGAUGCCGGUGGAUACUGGCGGGCUCGAGUACGGAAGAGGCGAGUGGAAUUCCUGGUGUAGCGGUGAAAUGCGCAGAUAUCAGGAAGAACACCCGUGGCUAAGGCGGCUCUCUAGGACGGUACUGACGCUGAGACGCGAAAGCGUGGGGAGCGAACAGG
rnacentral:rRNA from 1 species